rnacentral:rRNA from 1 species
AGAGUUUGAUCCUGGCUCAGGACGAACGCUGGCGGCGUGCCUAACACAUGCAAGUUGAGCGGAGAUAUAUGGAGCUUGCUUUAUAUAACUUAGCAGCGAACGGGUGAGUAACACGUAGAUAAUCUAUCCUAUACUGGGGGAUAGCCCGAUGAAAGUUGGAUUAAUACCGCAUAUAGCUAUAUAGUUGCAUGAUUAUGUAGUGAAAGAUUUAUUGGUAUAGGAGGAGUCUGCGGCACAUUAGCUAGUAGGUGAGGUAAAGGCUUACCUAGGCGACGAUGUGUAGCCGGUCUGAGAGGAUGAACGGCCACAAUGGAACUGAGACACGGUCCAUACUCCUACGGGAGGCAGCAGUGGGGAAUAUUGCACAAUGGGGGAAACCCUGAUGCAGCAACGCCGCGUGAGUGAAGAAGGUUUUCGGAUUGUAAAGCUCUGUUAGCAGGGAAGAGGAAGGACGGUACCUGCAGAGGAAGCCACGGCUAACUACGUGCCAGCAGCCGCGGUAAUACGU